rnacentral:piRNA from 1 species
UGAUUCUCGUCCCCUCACUUAGGGCCUGGGU